rnacentral:lncRNA from 1 species
GGGGGCCUGAGCCACAGAAAUGUCUUCUCUCACAGUUCUGAGGCUGGAAGUCCAAGUUCAAGGUGUCGACAGGUAUAGUUUCCUCUGAGGCCUCUCUCCCUGGCGUGCAGAUGGCCGCCUUCUCCGUGUGGUCUUUUCUCUGUGCAUGGGCACCCCGCUGUCUCUCUCUGGGUCCACAUUUCCUUCUCUUCUAAGGUCAUCUGUUGGAUUGAAUCAGGGCCCACCCUAGUGGUCUCAGAUGAACGGAAGCCCCUCGCUCAGGGCUCUUUCUCCAAAUACAGCCACAUUCUGAGUUGCCGGGGCUGAGAGUUCCCAUAUUUGGAGGGAACACAGUCUGGCUCGUAUGGGGGCAAGGUUAGACCUGGGGAGACCAGUUAGGGGGUGAGCAAGCGAUGACGGCGGCUCGGAGCAGAGCCGUAGAUGUGGAAGUGUGAGGAGGAGUCCGAUUCCACAGUGGCCUACGUGGAGUAGGAUGUCCCAAGAUGGACUGGAUGGAGAGUGCGAAGAAGGAAACGAGUCAAGGCUGCCUCCAGACUUUCUGGCCUGGGCGCCCGGAAGCCUGAGGUUGGCAUUGCCUGAGACAGAGGAAACGGUGGGAGGAGCACCUCUGGGGAGAUGCUGAGGGUUCUGUGUGGGACACAUUAAGUUUGAGAUACCUGCUCAGAAUCUAAGCAGAAAUGUGUAGUGGUCGGUAGGUACCCGUGGAGUUUAGGACAGAGGUCAGGGUUUCCUGACAUUUAAUUAUUCUUUCUUAAUCCUGUGGUUUCUUAUAAUAGUUUAUCAAGAGCUAAUUCACAUCCUGUAAAAUUCAGCCUUCUAAAGUGUACAUUUUGGUGGAUUUUUAGUGUAUUCAUAGGAUUGUGCAACCAUCACCGCCGCCUAAUUUCAUAACAUUUUCAUCCCCCUAAAGAAACCCCAUCCCCAUCCCCAGGCACUCCCGUUCCUCUGUCCCCUCAAGCCCUUGGCCAUCAGUAAUCCCCUUCCUCUCUAUAGACAGGCCUCUUCCGGGCCUUUCCCAAACCUGGAAUCACAUAAUAUGUGGCCUUUUGUGUCCGGCUUCUUUCACUGAGCAUCAUGUUUCCAAGGUCCAUCUGUGACCAUCAGUCCUUCCUUAUUGUGGCUGAAUAAUAUUCCAUUGUAUGCCUAAGCUGUAAUUUGUGUAUCCACUUAUCAGCUGGUGGGAUAAUUGGGUUGUUUCCACUUUGGGGCUAUUACGAAUAGUGCUGCAAUGAGCACAGCAUUCAUGUACCAGUUUUUGUGUGAACACAUGUUUUCAAUUCUCUUGAGUAUAUACUUAGAAGUGGAAUGCUAGGUCAUAGGGUGGCUCUAUGUUUAAUUUUUUGAGGAAUUUUAAAACUGUUUUCUAAAGCAGCUGCACCAUUUUACAUUCCUACCAGCAAUGUGUGAAGAUUCCAAUUUCUCCCGAUACGCACUAACCCUCAUUGUUCUGUCUUUUUGAUUACAGCCAUCCGAGUGGGUGUGAAGCGGUAUCUCAUUGAGUUUUGAUCUGCAAUUCCCGGAAUAUUAAUGAUGUUGAGCAUUUUUCAUGGGCUUAUCAGCCCCUUGUCUAUCUUUUUUUUUUUUAGAAAAAUAUUUGUUCAGAUUCUUUGCCUCUUUUAAUUGGGUUAUUUGUCCUUUUAUUUUUUGGGUUCUAAGAGUUCCUUGUAUAUUCUGGAUACAGUUCUCUCUCUGAAUUACGCUUUAUCAAUAGUUCUCUCUAUUCCAUGGGUCAUCUUUUCCUUUCUUGAUGAUGUUCUCUGAAGCACAAAGUUUUUAAUUUUGAUGAACUGACAUAUAAGUUUGGGAGCCAUCAGCACACACAUGUUAUUUUAAGCCACGAGCCUCCAUGCAAUCCUCUAAGAUGUAGUUUGGUAAAGAAUUAAGGGAGUGGACACGAUCAAGGACUUGCCCAUCCUCAGAGGUCCGAGAUGUAAGAAGACACCAGCCAAAGAGACUAAGAAGGACCCCACUCCCUCUUUCCCUCGUCUCUCCGUUCUGGAGUGUUCAUUCCAAGAGGCAACAGUAAAUUCAAAGUUCUGUCAUUUUGUUCAUUUUUAAGGCAGUAUCUCAGUUCUCUUUUUCAAGGCCACAUGAACUCCAGGGGUUCUGUGGCUGUUCUGGUGAGGCGUCCUUUUACUUUCAUGACACUGAUCAGAUGACCUGAUGGCCUCUGCCUGCAAACCUCUCCGUAUUCUCACCUCAGAUUACUUUUGCUUUUACACGAAGUGAGUAACCACAUUGUCACUUGAAGCUACACCUGUUGAGAAGAUUCUCACUUUCCAUCUCAGCCAGUCAUCCCAUGUGUUGCAGCCUCCAUCCACUUUUGCUUUGUACCAACCAGCCCAGCUCAUCUCUAAAGCACGCUAGGGCCUCUUCCUCUGCCUGCAGCUGGUCUUAAGAACAUCCAGCAUGGACUAGAUGUCAUCUGGAUGCUUGAGCCACUGUGAUAGGUGACCUGGGACUCUGGACUAUCCAUCCAUGGAGCUUGGUCCCAGAUAUACCAUUUCCAACUUACAUUGAACUGCUGCUGGGCCCACCCAACUCUCUGACUUGGUGGGUCUGACAGACCCCAGCUCAUAAUAGGUAACCGUAGACUGUCUCUCUUGGGACCCAGUAAUACAACACGAGUUGUUUCCCUGAAGGUAUGUGCUUGUCUGCUGCAGAUUGCGUGGCCCUGCCUUAGCAUCCUGAAGCUGCAUCGUGAUUCUCCCACUGGCUCUAUCAGCAAUUCGUCUUUUAAUUUAGAGGGGGUGUUCUGGUGCAUCUCGGACCAGUGGACCCCUGAAAACUCCCCCGUGGCUGUGGCCAGUUGCCGAAUGGUCAUAGCAUUCACAUCCCACCCUGUGUGGUACACUGGUCUUACCAAGGCUUCCAGUGCUCGGCCAUCUCUUGCUCAUUCUGUCUGAUGAGCCUGAUGCCAUCAAUGUAACCAAUGACUGAUGUUCCAUGGAAGGUCCAGGUGGUCCAGAUCUCUUUGGACUAUGUUAUCACCAAAGCCGAGAGAGCUAAGAGAGAUGGAGGCACAACUAAAUAAGCAUUAUCGGUGUCAUGAUCACGAGAACUAUUUCUGGAUCUUCUUUUCUUGCAAAAAGAGGAAACAUUUACCAAACCAGGAGCCACACACCACAUACGUUAGGCCUUAUGAAUCUUCUAGAGCAAAAAAUACCUCGUCUAUCACAGCAGCUACAGUCAGGCCUACUGAGUCGUUGAGUUGCAGUCAUCCCCAGGCAUUCUCCAGAUCUGUCGCUCUCUGCAGGGCUCCAGCUGGCAGAUCAAGUGAAGAUACAAGAGGGGCCAUCAUCUCCUUUAAGUAUUGAGUGGUGAUAUUAGUCUUUUCCAAUCCUCAGGGAUGAACUAUUUUUUUAUUUCCCUUCUUGGCCAGGCAGGAGGGGGCACCUUCAGAAGUUUCCAUUUGCCCUUCUUCACUCUGAUGGCUCUUAUGCCAAAGGCCAAAGACCCAAUGUGGAAAUUAUACCCACUGCUAAACUUAAUCCCAAUUUGACACUGGAGGAUGGGGGAGAUGACCACAGACCCCGUAGACCUACCAGGAGCCAGAUAUUGACCAUGAAUCCAUUUGUAACCUGGUUCCUACGAGCCCUCACUCUACAGGAGACCAAGGUAGGGCUCUGUGUCUCUGGCUGUCAGUGUCACCACAGGAAUGCCCAAGGGUCUUUCAAACACCUGGAUCUCCCCACUUUCUUCGUGUGCAAUAACCUGAGUACAUGUUCUAGUAUAUACGUGGGGUGAUGUCACUGGGUCCUUUCUGUUAAUAACGCAUCUACCUCUGCCACCAGCAGGUUCUGGAUCUGAAAAGUGACUUGAUCCAGACACUGAGUGAGGGCCCAUGACUGCUUCUUGGAUCCACUGCCCUUAGUCUCCUGUGUCUCCACACUUGCUUUGUUGUUGUGAUAAAUGGCGUCACUCCGAGCUGCCCCCUGUGUUACAUCUAGGAUGGCGCUGCUCUGUCAGCAAUCUCCACACCCCAUCGGUCACCCCUCCAGACUUGCUGGUUGUUAUGGUGAAACGCACCAGAGCUGGCUCCCGCUAAUUGACAUCUGGCUUCUGUCCCUUGUGAAGGUGGGGUCACCCCCAGCUCUGUGACUCCCCCUCUGGCCUGCAGAGGAGAGCCACCACCAGACUUCUUGGUGACCUUAAGUUAAUAAGGUCCUGGUGGCCUUAGUUCAUGGUGUGUCCUCUGGAUCCUUUCAUAGAACAGGAUCUGGUGACCCCCUGACCUCACAUAACGGAUCCAUUCCAGCUUUCAGCUUCUUUAUUCCUCCCUCUUCUCUCUUUUAGAGCGAAUCAUGCAUGCCACUUUGUCCGCAUGGGCUCAUCACUCUCUCCAGGCUUCUGAGCACUAUUGGAUUUGUUGUCUCUGGCGGUGGAAUAAACACCCUAAAACCUGGUGACUUUGAAGAACACCAGGUCUUUCACAAUUGUGGGUCAGGUGGGAAGGGGCUUUGCUGAGUGGUUCUGGCUCAGGGACCCUCAUGAGGUUGCCGUCAAGGUGUCAGUGGGGCCGCAUCAUCUGAAGCUUGGGUGGGGGCUGGAGGAGUGGCUUCUGAGAAGGCUCACGGGCACGGCUGGCCGUUGGUGCUGGCUGGGGUGUCCUGUUCUCUUCCCUGUGACCUCUCAUCCUCCAGAAUCUCUCUCUGGAGGUGGCUUCUCCUGCAAGAUAGUCUGGACUUCUCGUGGUGCCUGGACUUUGGAAAAGAAGGAAAAGGUAUUUGUCAGGAGGGCAGAAAGAGCACCAGGAGAGAGAGAGAGAGAAAGCCUCAGACGUAAGCCAGCCUCAUCAUGGACAUGGCAUCCGUCACUCUGGCAUAUUCUACUUGGUGGGAGUCACAAGUCCAGCCCAUCGUCAGUGGGAAGGGAUGACGAAAGGCCAUGGACACCAGGAGGGGGGCCAUGGGGCCCGUCUUGGAGGCCGCCGGCCAUAGCAACGCCAGCAGCAAGGUCACCUGGACCCCUGUGGUCCUUGAAGGAUAUUAAAUGUCAUGUCCCAAGAAAGUGCCUCCAAGUCCAAGUCUUUGGCGUCCUGUGUUCUUGCCCUUUGAUGAAGAACCCCCAAAUCUGGGAGUUCCCAUUGUGGCUCAGCAGAAAUGACCUCACUGGUACCCAGGAGGGUGUGGGUUCAAUCCCUGGCCUCUCUCAGGGGGUUAAGGAUCCAGGCAUUGCUGUGAACUGUGGUGUAGGUCGCAGAUGCAGCUCAGAUCCCACAUUGCUGUGGCUCUGGUGUAGGCUGGCAGCUGUAGCUUGGAUUAGACCCCUGGCCUGGGAACCUCCAUAGGCUGUGGGUGCGGCCCCAAAACGAAAAAAAAAAAAAAAAAAAAA